GUUCUGAUAGCUCAGUAGGGAGAGCACCAUCUUGACAGGGUGGGGGUCGGCGGUUCGAGCCCGUCUCAGAACA
rfam:Paenibacillus dendritiformis C454 PDENDC1000009, whole genome shotgun sequence.